UACGUAGGGUGCAAGCGUUGUUCGGAAUUAUUGGGCGUAAAGGGCGCGUAGGCGGUGCGGUAAGUCACCUGUGAAAACUCUGGGCUCAACUCAGAGCCUGCAGGCGAAACUGCCGUGCUUGAGUGUGGGAGAGGUGCGUGGAAUUCCCGGUGUAGCGGUGAAAUGCGUAGAUAUCUGGAGGAACACCGGUGGCGAAGGCGGCGUCCUGGACCAACACUGACACUGAUGAGCGAAAGCCAGGGGAGCAAACGGG
rnacentral:rRNA from 1 species